rnacentral:snRNA from 14 species
AUACUUACCUUCUCGGGGCUUUCCUGUGCUCAUGAAUACGGGAGCCUGCCCGCCUCACCCUGCAUUGCACAGCGUGGUCGGUGACGGGCAUGUACUCUCUCCUUGUGGGGGCUUACACCAGGGGACAAUUUUUGAUGUCGCUCGUAUGGCUGGCUGGCUGGCUGAGCU